rnacentral:lncRNA from 1 species
UGGGUCGCCCCGCGGGGCGGGUCUCCCAAUUUGCCCAGUUGGCCCUUGGGGCGCGGGCGGAGGGGGAACGUCGGCGUAGGGUCCCCCCGCGAUGCCCGGGGAAGGGCCGGGGCAAGUUGGAAGCGGCCAAAACAAUGCGUCCGGACGGGCAUCCCCCCGUAAACAAUGGCCGGGACGGUCCACUCGGGCCGGGCGGAGGGCGCCUCUAAGGGACCGCGGGAGGGGCUGGGCCUCGCCGCGGACCCCGACGCGCGCCCCGUGACUCCCUCGGGUGCCCAAAAAUCUGUCCCCGGGAGUCUUGGGGCGCCUGCUCAUCCCUGAACAGGGAUGCACGGGGCUGCGUUUCCUGGAUGUGUGCGAUAAGGUGGC